GUAAACCCAAGGUUUCCAGGGGAAGGUUCGUCCGCCCUGGGUUAGUCGGGACCUAAGCUGAGGCCGAAAGGCGUAGGGGAUGGACAACAGGUUGAUAUUCCUGUACUACCGAUAACCGUUUGAGAGAUGGGAUGACACAGUAGGAUAAGCUAAGCACACUGUUGGUUAUGUGUGCCCAAGCAUUGAGGCAGUCAAAGUAACCAAA
rnacentral:rRNA from 1 species